CCUACGGGGGGCUGCAGUGGGGAAUAUUGGACAAUGGGGGGAACCCUGAUCCAGCCAUGCCGCGUGUGUGAAGAAGGCCCUCGGGUUGUAAAGCACUUUCAGUGAGGAAGAACGCCUGGUGGUUAAUACCCAUCAGGAAAGACAUCACUCACAGAAGAAGCACCGGCUAACUCCGCGCCAGCAGCCGCGGUAAUACGGAGGGUGCGAGCGUUAAUCGGAAUUACUGGGCGUAAAGCGCGCGUAGGUGGCUUGAUAAGCCGGUUGUGAAAGCCCCGGGCUCAACCUGGGAACGGCAUCCGGAACUGUCAAGCUAGAGUGCAGGAGAGGAAGGUAGAAUUCCCGGUGUAGCGGUGAAAUGCGUAGAGAUCGGGAGGAAUACCAGUGGCGAAGGCGGCCUUCUGGACUGACACUGACACUGAGGUGCGAAAGCGUGGGUAGCAAACAGGAUUAGAUACCCGGGUAGUC
rnacentral:rRNA from 1 species